GACGAACGCUGGCGGCGUGCUUAACACAUGCCAGUCGUACGGUAAGGCCCUUUCGGGGGUACACGAGUGGCGAACGGGUGAGUAACACGUGAGAAACCUGCCCACAACUUUGGGAUAACGCUAGGAAACUGGUGCUAAUACUGGAUAUGUGCCCCUGCUGCUGGUUGGGGUUGGAAAGCUCCGGCGGUUGUGGAUGGACUCGCGGCCUAUCAGCUUGUUGGUGGGGUAGUGGCCUACCAAGGCGGCGACGGGUAGCCGGCCUGAGAGGGUGACCGGCCACAUUGGGACUGAGAUACGGCCCAGACUCCUACGGGAGGCAGCAGUGGGGAAUAUUGCACAAUGGGCGCAAGCCUGAUGCAGCAACGCCGCGUGCGGGAUGACGGCCUUCGGGUUGGAAACCGCUUUCAGCAGGGACGAAGCUUUUUGUGACGGUACCUGCAGAAGAAGCACCGGCUAACUACGUG
rnacentral:rRNA from 1 species